rnacentral:rRNA from 1 species
UAGGGAAUCUUCGGCAAUGGGGGGAACCCUGACCGAGCAACGCCGCGUGAGUGAAGAAGGUUUUCGGAUCGUAAAGCUCUGUUGUUAAGGAAGAACGAGUGUGAGAAUGGAAAGUUCAUGCUGUGACGGUACUUAACCAGAAAGGGACGGCUAACUACGUGCCAGCAGCCGCGGUAACACGUAGGUCCCGAGUGUUGUCCGGAUUUAUUGGGCGUAAAGCGAGCGCAGGCGGUUAGAAAAGUCUGAAGUGAAAGGCAGUGGCUCAACCAUUGUAGGCUUUGGAAACUGUUUAACUUGAGUGCAGAAGGGGAGUGUGCAAUUCCAUGUGUAGCGGUGAAAUGCGUAGAUAUAUGGAGGAACACCGGUGGCGAAAGCGGCUCUCUGGUCUGUAACUGACGCUGAGGCUCGAAAGCGUGGGGAGCGAACAGG